rnacentral:tRNA from 1 species
GAUAGUUUACCUAAAUUGUUUAGGGUUACUUUGAUGUGGUAAAUUAUUUAACUAUUU